GCAGGGUCAGAAUCAUUACUCCAUUUUACGGAUGCCGGAUGUCUUCUCAGCUAAUCCUCCCAUCCAAUCCUCUGGGAAGCCUUUCAGGAUGCCCCACCCCGACUUAUCGCUGCCUUCUCUGAACUGCCAGCAAUGGACCUCAGUGGGGCGGAGGAUCAGCUUUCAUCUCCUUGCAGACACCUGGGGUGCUCCCAUGAGUUCCCAGCCUUUUUUCCACCCCCACCUUGCACAGAGGCCUCCCCCACAGGAGAGAGUGAGAUGAGGGAACAAAGGUGGCAGAACUUGCACAAUCCUGCAGCUAAGAAGUAGAGGAGCAGAGAUCUGAACCAAGAGACAGUCCUCAAGGCUUGUGCUCCCAAGCACGUCCCUCCACUACCUCCCUUCACGAUACUCAGUGGCACGGGUUAGGACGCCAGGCAUGGAUGAUGUGCCCACUGACCUCAGGCCUUGAAUAACAAGGAUUUCACUGCACGUAGAAGUAGGGGUAGGGCACAGCCAAGCAGAGAAGGACACCAGGAGCACUCUGUGGACUCAAUCCUCCCCAGGCCCAAGAGAGCUGAGGCACGUUCUUCUCUGGCCCCCCAUGGCAGCUACAGCUUGAAGGGACUCAAGAUAAUCUGCAACCAACUUCCUCACUAGGGGUCUCUUUUGUUCACUGAACACCCCUUUCUCAAGCAAGGCUGGGUCCCUCAGCAAGCUCUGGUCACGAGCACCAGGAGAGACCAAGAAGUUGCAAACUUACAAUAAUGCCUACACAUCAAGCCUGUUGGAGACACCUUCACGGAAGAAAGUGCUUCCUACAGUCUAGGCUCAAUUCCCCACUCCUCUCCUGCUCCACCACGGCCCAGGGCUUCCCCCCAGCCUGGCACUUCAUGCCUAGGCCACUCUGAACUCCUAUAGUGCUAAGUGAACAAAAUCCUGCUUGCCCUUACCUUGAGGCCUUUGCAAAUGCUCUUCCAUCUUCCUAGUGCUGUCCCUCAACUCAGCCUGAAGUGGCUCUUCCUUAUAAGGCCAGCCCCAAUGGCCCCUCCUCCUAAAUACCUUCCUGCGACAUUAACACAGGUAGGAAAGACUCGGAGCUUCCAUCCACGUGGUCACUGGCUCUGUCCAUCUGCCCCCAGGGGUGUCAUGUUUGGUAGGGCCAGUGAACGGCUGCUGAAUGAAUGAAUGAUGAGUCCUGAUCUCCCUCCUCUGUUCCCUCUCCCUGGAUGACUUCACUCACUCACCUAUGGGAGAGUCAGAGGCUGACAGUGCCUCUGCCUCCAAUUCCCCCUCUUGUCCUCUGAGACCCUCCCUUUCACACGUACAGCCCACUCUCAUAAAACCAAGAGACUCACAGCCCUUCUGCAUUGGUAGGAAGUUCUUCCUGCUGUCUGUCCUCACUCCCUUAUUUGACCAUGCCUGCUUCUUUAUCAUUAUUUUUGGAGAGGAGUCAGGGCCUGCACCCAUCUCAGAUUUUUGUUAAUAAAGGCUGCGCAUUUCUCCCACUCUCUGCCUAGAUGUGUUCUUGCCACUCCUGGAUCAUUGUGCCCCAGCCUGGCCCUACUUCAGGGGACAGUGACACAGGACGGAGAAAGGACAUAAGGCCAGGCUGGGUAGCCUGGAGUUGCUGGGCCCUGCGGAGAAGACCCAGGACAGAUAUAACCACCACAAGGGAAGGGCUGCCCAGGAGGGAAGAGAUGAACAUCCUAUGUCCGGGGGUAUACAAACAGCAGGCUGGAUAGAUCUGCAGGGCAAGUUGUAGAGAGUACUAAAACAACUGCUAGAA
rnacentral:lncRNA from 1 species